GAAGAAGAUGUUUUCAUCUUGGUGACAAGAAGACAACGCUCUGGACUUCACGCACUGUCUACCAUCUUGUGCGACGGACGGACGCGGAUGCCAGAAGUUAAUGGUGCAUCGGACAUAACUUCUAGCGCCUUAAGGCGCUCUGCGUUAUAAAAGGCAUCACUGACUUUCCUUGGCCAUGCUGGAACAUGUGCGGCAUUCUCUGCAAUCAGUGUUCCAACUGGUACGUGGAAAUAUGUGGAUAUAAAUAUUCCAGGGAGUAAACGUAAGUGUACUUGGGUGCACGAGUUCCUGCCGCAGUACGCUCAUCGACUAGCUUGUAGCAUCCGUGCUUCAGAUCUUAACAGUGAUGGCGAACGUUUCCGGCCUCUUCAUGCUGGUCGCUUCUGGGAUUGCUGCUCAGCUCCUGGCUUACCCGGCGGGCGCCAUUGGAUUGCCGUUGAUGAUGCUGUGUAUCCUACGGGGCCGUGCGGACGUUCCGACAACUGAAGACGCUUGAGGCGAGCACGUGAAGGAACCGACGAGCAUACUGGGAGCAGACACGAUGUCUAUGUGGAGGCUUAGUAGAACGAGAACCAUAUAAAGUGCACAUCAUGAUGUAAGACUUCGGCCUUCCCUAUGGAUGAUAAAAUAUGGAUGAUAAAAAAACACUUUAGGAAUAAAUUUGUUUUGUACCUAU